UACGGGGGGGGCAAGCGUUGUUCGGAAUUACUGGGCGUAAAGGGCGCGUAGGCGGUUGGAUAAGUCAGCUGUGAAAACCACAGGCUUAACUCGUGGCCUGCAGUUGAGACUGUCUGGCUUGAGUGUGGGAGAGGAGAGUGGAAUUCCUGGUGUAGCGGUGAAAUGCGUAGAUAUCAGGAGGAACACCGGUGGCGAAGGCGGCUCUCUGGACCACAACUGACGCUGAGGCGCGAAAGCUAGGGGAGCAAACAGG
rnacentral:rRNA from 1 species